UUACUAACAUGUCACAAAAGGGGAGGGUUACACAAGAUGAGCAGAGGCAGCUAUGGAGAGCACGAGGCUGGAAUGUCAGGAUGACGAAGGAGGAUUUCCAAGACCAUGAGGAUCAAAUACUGAGGGGGAAGUGUGGAUGAUAUUGUGGAGCCAGACUGGCAGGAUGACAGAGUGGAGAGGCUAAGGGAGACAUGGGGAAAUGCCGUAGGUGGGAACUUCAGGCAGAAGCACACCAGCGAGGGCAAAGCUGGCUGGGAGUAGGGGAGGAUAGCUUGGAAGGGGAAGGCGGGGAGAUUGGAAGACAGAGUUCCCAGGAUGAAAGGCAGCGGAUUAGGGGUGUAGUGGCGUUGCUAACCAAGAUAACUCCAGGAGAUUUUUUAGGGAGGGGCUUUUUACCCCUUCCUUCUUUUCUAAUUCUGUCUUUUAAGUCCCUAAAAGGCCCUGCCCCCUACAGCAUAACACUUCUAUAGAUGUUGUUGCAGACGCAAUGAUGGGGAACCCUAAGCCCAACUCCUCCUUACAACAAGACUAUUUAUUACCUACAGCAGCAGCAACAACAACAACAAAGACACAGGAGCCUGGCCACAACUCUUUCCUUUCAAAGGAUAAUGACUGAGAUGGAGUGGGGCUAACGAAGGGGGGAGGAGUUGAAUUGUAAGGGCAUUUUUGUCACUUUUGAACCUCAAGACUGUGCUCCAGGAUUGACAAGAAGAUCACAAUUGCCUCAAGAUAUGCAACUGAUGUCUAAUUAGUUUGUCGUGUAUUACGUGUUAUUUAUGUAGGAAUGUUGGAAUAUGUUUGACAGUGUGUUAUUUCCACGGAAAGGAAAAGAAUUUCUAUGUGUAAUUUUCUGGUUCUUGUUGUUUAAUGUAUAGUGUCUUAUUGCUUACACCCCUGUGGAGGAUUCUCAUGCUUUCUAAUGGUUCAGGCUAUUGUGUAAUCCACUCUUUAGAUUUGAUCACUGAAAAAUAUGGUAUUUUGUUAGUUGCUCCUUGGGACUUUUUAUCAACAAGUGCCUUUGAAAUGUUUUAAAUAAAAAUUGAGGUGUACUUAACAGUAUUCCCAGUAGAGGGCAGCAGUACAUAACAACUGAAGUUGACACAUCCCUGGCCUCAUGAGUCCUUCCUAUUCAUGUAAGUUUUUUAUGAUGAAGAAUAUACAAACAAGUACAGUGGUACCUUGGGUUAAGUACUUAAUUCAUUCCGGAGGUCCGUUCUUAACCUGAAACUAUUCUUAACCUGAGGUACCACUUUAACUAAUGGGGCCUUCCGCUGCUGCCGAUUUCUUUUCUCAUCCUGAAGCAAAGUUCUUAACCCGAGGUAUUAUUUCUGGGUUAGCAGAGUCCGUAACCUGAAGCGUAUGUAACCCGAGGUACCACUGUAGAGCCAUUUUCAGAAGGAUGGAUAUGCUACUAAAGAUUUACUCAUAGCCAACAAGAGUUAAGAGUGAAUCUCAGGUACUAUCAAGGGCGCACCUGAAACAUUUUGGAACCUUUUAGAAAGCAUUGCACAAACGCUGAUUAUUAAAGCUUUUUUUUUUGUCUUCAAAAGCGUACAUUGCACCAAUGAACCUUCCUCAUGCUAUGCUUACUGGAGGGUUGAAAGACUGUGAAUUAGGCCUAAUCCGAUGUGUUAAGUUGCAUGAUACAUCACACGUGUUCUCCAAUCAGCCCCCCCCCCCCCCCAAUUGAAAUACUUGAUUUUUUUCCAGUUCUGGGAUAGCUGCUUCCAAUGAUCAGGCAGGGCUCAAGGACAGGACUGGGUGGUCCAGGCAAUGUUUCGUGAACUCCACGGCACUGAGAGCAGCAUCAGAGAAUCCAAACACAGCUGCAUCUCCAGCCUUGUUGCUACGACACUUCUCAUGUGUCGGCCAAGAGGGGAAAAAACUGAUUUAUUUAUUUAUAGGGGUGCCCUUUAAAUAGUU
rnacentral:lncRNA from 1 species